UUUUGGACAAUGGGCGAAAGCCUGAUCCAGCCAUGCCGCGUGAGUGAAGAAGGCCUUCGGGUUGUAAAGCUCUUUUAGUCGGAAAGAAAGAGUUGCAAUGAAUAAUUGUGAUUUAUGACGGUAACGACAGAAAAAGCACCGGCUAACUACGUGCCAGCAGCCGCGGUAAUACGUAGGGUGCGCGCGUUAAUCGGAAUUACUGGGCGUAAAGGGUGCGCAGGCGGUCUUGCAAGUCAGAUGUGAAAGCCCCGGGCUUAACCUGGGAAUUGCGUUGGAAACUACAAGGCUAGAGUGCAGCAGAGGGGAGUGGAAUUCCAUGUGUAGCAGUGAAAUGCGGAGAGAUGUGGAAGAACACCGAUGGCGAAGGCAGCUCCCUGGGUUGACACUGACGCUCAUGCACGAAAGCGUGGGGAGCAAACA
rnacentral:rRNA from 1 species